rnacentral:rRNA from 1 species
GACGAACGCUGGCGGCGUGCUUAACACAUGCAAGUCGAACGGUAAGGCCCUUCGGGGUACACGAGUGGCGAACGGGUGAGUAACACGUGGGUGAUCUGCCCUGCACUUCGGGAUAAGCCUGGGAAACUGGGUCUAAUACCGGAUAGGACAACUGCCUGCAUGGGUGGUGGUGGAAAGCUUUUGCGGUGUGGGAUGGGCCCGCGGCCUAUCAGUUUGUUGGUGGGGUGAUGGCCUACCAAGGCGACGACGGGUAGCCGGCCUGAGAGGGUGAGCCGCCACACUGUGAGUGAGAUACGGCCCAGACGCCUACGGGAGGCAGCAGUGGGGAAUAUUGCACAAUGGGCGCAAGCCUGAUGCAGCGACGCCGCGUGAGGGAUUACGGCCUUCGGGUUGUAAACCUCUUUCAGCAUCGACGAAGCGAAAGUGACGGUAGGUGCAGAAGAAGGACCGGCCAACUACGUGCCAGCCGCCGCAUAA